GACAGAGGGUGCAAACGUUGUUCGGAAUUACUGGGCGUAAAGCGUGUGUAGGCGGUCCACUAAGUCGAACGUGAAAUCCCCGGGCUCAACCCGGGAACUGCGUCCGAUACUGGAAGGCUUGAAUCCGGGAGAGGGAUGCGGAAUUCCAGGUGUAGCGGUGAAAUGCGUAGAUAUCUGGAGGAACACCGGUGGCGAAGGCAGCAUCCUGGACCGGCAUUGACGCUGAGGCGCGAAAGCCAGGGGAGCAAACGGG
rnacentral:rRNA from 1 species